CAGCACAAGCCACACAAACUUGUCGGCGUAACCACUAAGGGCCUUUUCGAUCGGCACCGCGCGGAAAAGCGCGAGCGCCACGACGCCGAGCAAUACGACCGCGCUUCCCGUCAGCGGCUGGACGAUCGAGCCGACGAUCGUCGCGACAAAGAUCGCCAGCAGCGUCCACGCCUCACGCGUCACGCCCUCGGGCCGCGGCAGCAAAGCGAUCCCGACACCAACGCCGACCACGAUAAGCCAUCUGAUCAGGGUCUUUU
rnacentral:misc_RNA from 1 species